AUCCUUUGGAGCCAAGGACUCGAACAGACAUGCGAGACCUCUAUCAACUGAAGGUUUCGUGAGCACACUCCUUUGCCAAGAUCUUGGUGAAUAGUCUUUCACUGUGCAGUUGUAUCUUAGAAAUUGUUUUACGUUUGAUCAUGAUUGUGCUUGGCUGGAUGUUUUUUGUUGGACUUGCAUGUUACAUGGGCACGUUUCCAGAGUCGAUGCCUCCAACUCUGAAGUGGCAGGAAAGGUGGCCUGUUCAGGAGAGCAAGACACAACUGAAGAGGCAGGCUUUAGAUGAAGAUCUGCCGCAGAACCAUGUGGAAGGGAUAUAAAUAUCCCCCAGGAGGGACCCCAGUGGAAGUAAGCAAGGAUGAUCCUGGUGAAGUAAUGCAGCUCUGAAGCUCACCUGACCAGCUGUACAGUUCCUGUUGUUGGUUUCGCAUAAACCACCUAAAUUAAUAAGUAAGAAUGCUCAGCAUCCAAUCCAUGAAUACAGAAUUUAUUCUACUUUGUACUUCAAAGUCACAGGAUGACAUCCAUAUGAUAGUUACAAAUUCUACUCUACAUUUUCAAGUUCUCAAUCCAUAGAUUAGGACAAGUCACUUUAUUGCUGGCAACAUUCAUGGAAGGUCCAGGUUUCUCAUAAAAAGACUAAGUUUGAUUGGGAGCAGGGCAGUGCCCUACUCACAGAUCAGCAGAAUUAUAGAAAUCAAGAGACAACCUUUUUUUUCCUUUCAAAGUAGCAAAGGAACAAUAAAAGAUUGGCUGACUGGUGACUGGCCCCACAUAAGAGUGCAUAGCUCAUCAGGAUCAAGGCUGGCAUCUGUGAACAGUUAACUUCAUAAGAGCACAUGUGGGCAUUAUAUCAUCUGCAUUACAGAUUUCACCCUGGAAAAUAUCUGAAAAUAUUUUAUGCUCAAAUGACAGCCUGCAAAUGACAGUAUGCAUUCCUUCUCCUUGAGUACCCAAGUAUAAAUCUAAAAUGAUAAGGGGACGUCUUCAGUCUGAAGGCAGGAAAUCCUUGCAGCAGAGCAGCUCUACAAUUUCACAAAAAUAAAAGCAGCAGCUAACGCCUCUUCAGCUUCUUGGCCCUUCGACGUUGCAUUUCUUCUUCUUCACGUCUCAUUUCCUCUAAGUCCUCUUGCAUACCUAGUCUUAAGCUGCCAAAGAAUUUUUAAAGGGUAUUUAUUAAUAUACAUGAGAUGAUCACUUUCCAUAAAAAGAAUGAAAUUUCCAACUGGGAGCUCAUGGAUUGUGCUGAUGCUCUCAAAAUGCUUCAAGGCUUUACCACUGAAAACAAACUAGCAGGGAUAUUUUUUUUACCAGGGGUCACAGACCCAAAUUGUACUGGGAAAAAGAACUCACACACCACAAAAACCUUAGUAUUUCCAUUAAAAUAAUAAAAUAUAAGUUUAUCUCAAUAGCUUUUAAAAAUAAACAGCAAGAAGCAUUUAUUCAUU